GUGGAUUUGCAGCAGAAACACCCUGCUAAAGAACAAGUAUCUUGAUUCACAGCAAAGAAGACAAAGAAAAACAGCAAGUUCUAGGGGGUUGAAUCCUGGAUUGACAGACCAUAUACUAUGAACUUGGUGAACUAGGAAAUUUCACACAAUAUGUGAGUAUGUCAGCUGGUAUUAUACUGAUUUCGUAGUUCCAAGGUGCUGAGUUUGCUCUCUCCAAGGCCAGCUGACCAGCUAGGUGGCAGAAGAAAGAUGAUAUUUUCUUUCUGCCUCUCUUCAAUCAGUGGUUUGCUGGUUUGUUAACAUUGUCUUCUCGUGGGAUAAAAGUGAAUGUGGGUCUCAGGCAAUCACUUGAAGGCCUUGAUUAAAACUGACUGACCUCCUGGAAGAAGAGGGAAUUCUGGCAGCAAACUGCCUUUGGACUUGAAUCGUGGCUCUGGCCUGAGUCUCCAGCCUAUUGUCCCACCCUGCAAGUUUUGAACUGGCCAACGCUCCACAAUUUAAGCAGUUAAUCAGCCCACUCUCUUUCUUCACAUCCUGUUAUCUUGGUUUCUCUGGAGAACCAUUACAAACACACAUAUAAACAGAAAAUCAUUUGGUUAAG
rnacentral:lncRNA from 1 species